rnacentral:lncRNA from 1 species
AUAAAUUGUAUAAAGUAAGAAAAUUGUACAAUUUUGUUCACAAAUUGGAAUUUUGUGAACGUAGUUACACUUACCUGAUAUCCUUACAUUAUGGAUUAUCUUUCCGGUAUUUGGUCACAUCUCGCUCAAAACGCUUGACUGAUCAAGAAUUCAAACCUCUCGGUGAAUCAGUCCAAGCGUGAGAACCCCUUCAGUAUUCUCCGGCGAAAUCCAAACAGAUUGCCAAAAGAAUUACUAAUGGGGAGGAGGUGGGUAGUAUAUCAGGUAAGUGUAACUACGUUCACAAAAUUCCAAUUUGUGAACAAAAUUGUACAAUUUUAAUAUUACUUGUUACACUUACCUGAUAUCCUUACAUUAUGGAUAUCCAUAGAUUCUAAAGCAGUCCCAACUCAAGCGGUGGACUGUAAUUCUUUUGUUCAAAUAAUGUACACUAUAUUACACUAUAUACAAAGUCUAAAUGUUUGACUUUAAACACAUUAAAUAGAUGUCUUUUUCAUCUCACACACAAAGGUUUAAAAGCUUGCAUCGCAUCUCGUCGGAUAUGAAUAGUUCCAACACUAUACAAACUAUAUUACAAGUUAAAAAACUGUACACAUUUUUCUUCUUUUUUUUUUUUUUUCGAAUUUUAUGUAUUUUUCUUCUUCUUUUUUUUUUUUUUUUUACUUCGAUAAAACAUGAGGGUCUAUGUGACGUAAGUAAAAUUUGGUGAAUGUGGAUUCCCUGCUCCAAUCAGCAGCUUCCAUGAUGUUCUUCAUUGAUGCACCUUUAUAAAGAGCCCAAGAAGGACCAAUAGCUCUUGUCGAAUGAGCCUUAACAGAUUUCUUUUUGUCGUUAUAUGCCAUCUGAAUGGUACUCACAAUCCAUGAUGAAAUUGUUUGACUUGAAAUUGGCUUAUGUGGAUUACUGAUUGCUAAGAACAAUUUACUAUCUUGUCUGUUUUCACCACGAAAAUUGUCAGUGCUCUUUAAAUAGUACGUUAAUGCCCUUUUAGGGUCAAGAAGCUUUUCUGCAUCAAAGGCAGGUACAAAAAUCUUAGCACCAAAAUGUCCAGGACGGUCUUGUUUUGACAAUCCUUCUCUAAUAAAAUAAACUCCUCUGCUAUGUACAGAUAUAUUUCCAUCUCCCAAACGUAAGGCCUGUAUAUCACUGCAACGCCUGAAAGUAGUGAUAGCAAUUAAAAAUACAGUUUUCCAUGUGAUAAACUUGAGUUCAGCCUUUUUCAUUGGUUCAAAAGGCUUUUUC